rnacentral:rRNA from 1 species
AUUGAACGCUGGCGGCAGGCCUAACACAUGCAAGUCGGACGGUAGCACAGAGGAGCUUGCUCCUCGGGUGACGAGUGGCGGACGGGUGGGUAAUGUCUGGGGAUCUGCCCGAUAGAGGGGGAUAACCACUGGAAACGGUGGCUAAUACCGCAUAACGUCGCAAGACCAAAGAGGGGGACCUUCGGGCCUCUCACUAUCGGAUGAACCCAGAUGGGAUUAGCUAGUAGGCGGGGUAAUGGCCCACCUAGGCGACGAUCCCUAGCUGGUCUGAGAGGAUGACCAGCCACACUGGAACUGAGACACGGCCCAGACUCCUACGGGGGGCAGCAGUGGGGAAUAUUGCACAAUGGGCGCAAGCCUGAUGCAGCCAUGCCGCGUGUAUGAAGAAGGCCUUCGGGUUGUAAAGUACUUUCAGCGGGGAGGAAGGCGGUGCGGUUAAUAACCGCGCCGAUUGACGUUACCCGCAGAAGAAGCACCGGCUAACUCCGUGCCAGCAGCCGCAGUAA